rnacentral:rRNA from 1 species
AGAGUUUGAUCCUGGCUCAGGACGAACGCUGGCGGCGCGCCUAACACAUGCAAGUCGAACGAGCAAGAGAGAGCUUGCUUUCUCGAGCGAGUGGCGAACGGGUGAGUAACGCGUGAGGAACCUGCCUCAAAGAGGGGGACAACAGUUGGAAACGACUGCUAAUACCGCAUAAGCCCACGACCCGGCAUCGGGAAGAGGGAAAAGGAGCAAUCCGCUUUGAGAUGGCCUCGCGUCCGAUUAGCUAGUUGGUGAGGUAACGGCCCACCAAGGCGACGAUCGGUAGCCGGACUGGAGAGGUUGAACGGCCACAUUGAGACUGAGACACGGCCCAGACUCCUACGGGAGCA